GACGAACGCUGGCGGCGUGCCUAAUACAUGCAAGUAGAACGCUGAAGAGAGGAGCUUGCUCUUCUUGGAUGAGUUGCGAACGGGUGAGUAACGCGUAGGUAACCUGCCUUGUAGCGGGGGAUAACUAUUGGAAACGAUAGCUAAUACCGCAUAACAAUGGAUGACACAUGUCAUUUAUUUGAAAGGGGCAAUUGCUCCACUACAAGAUGGACCUGCGUUGUAUUAGCUGGUAGGUGAGGUAAUGGCUCACCUAGGCGACGAUACAUAGCCGACCUGAGAGGGUGAUCGGCCACACUGGGACUGAGACACGGCCCAGACUCCUACGGGAGGCAGCAGUAGGGAAUCUUCGGCAAUGGGGGCAACCCUGACCGAGCAACGCCGCGUGAGGGAAGAAGGGUUUCGGAUCGUAAAGCUCUGUUGUAAGUCAAGAACGGGUGUGAGAGUGGAAAGUUCACACUGUGACGGUAGCUUACCAGAAAGGGACGGCUAACUACGUG
rnacentral:rRNA from 1 species